rnacentral:tRNA from 1 species
CGAUAGCUCAGUUGGUUAGAGCAUGUGACUGUAGAAGUGCGGUUAUCACAGGGUCCCUGGUUCGAAUCCGGG